CCUCACUUACUGCAAUGCAUUCCUGCUCUACUAGUUACCGUUGAUUUGUUUACGUAUUUAUCCAUUCAUUCCACCAUUAUGUGUUAAACUUCUACCAGUUGCCAGGCACUGAAGAUACAACAAUAAACCAGACAGACUUACAUCCAGUCCGUAUGCUACUUACAGUCUAAUGAAAGAUGCAAACGAUUAAUUACACAAGACAUAACUAUGCCAUAUGGCCCUUGCUAACAUGAGGUAAGGCCAAGUAGCUCAGGGAGCGCUUAGUGGGACCACCCAACAACAUCUGGGGAUGGUGUUGAGCUGCCAGGAAAUAAAUUCCUUGAGGAAGCAGCAUUUUAGCUGAGGCUGAAAGUGUGAGCCAGGUAAAUGAGGAUUGACAGCAAAGGGGGAGGGAGAAGAAAAAAGGGUUCUGAUGGUAUGUUGGAGGAACUAAAACAAGUUUUGAAUGUCUUUGGUGUUCAGUUGGAAGAGGGUGGUAGAAAACGUGGCUAGAGGAGUGAGCAAAACUUACAGCCAUGCUGACUUGAGACCUAACCUCUGGGAUCUGCAAAGGCUUAGAAUCAGAUGGAACUGGGCUUGACUCUCAGCUCUGAUCUUUGCCAGCAACUUGGGUGCGUCUGAGGAGACGCUGCACUUUCCCUGAACCACAGACUAACAAAGAGCAAGAAGGGAAAUUCUGAAGCAAGUGUGAAUGUGACUCAUCAAUUGCCUUGGAUCUGGGAGGUGUGGUUUUCUGUGGCCCAUGGCAUCUGAGAUCAGCAGGAAUCAGCACCAGCUCAAGUUGGAUUUCUUCUCAGGCCUGUACCUACAGGUUAGACAACUUAUCAAGGCAUGAAACUCCCAAAUCCUGAGUCAUUGACAACUGAAACUGCCUAAGUGUGAGAUCAUGCUUCUGCAGGAAGACUUGCCAGACCAUCUUUGGGAUGGGUAUCGCUGUGAUGGAAGGGACAGGAAGACAGUGAUCAAAAGGUUGGCAAGAUGGGAAGCAACGAGCUUAUUUCCAAGCAGGGAAAUCAACAGUGCCACAUCAAACUAAGAAGGAGGAAAUCCAGCCAGCUAAGCAGGUACAGCUUUAUUUGUUAUCCUAUCCUUCAUCCCCUUUCUCAACAUUCUUUCCUGACUAUGGAAAAAAGUAAAUGCAAAUAGAAUCUGCAAAGUGAGAAGCUAAAAUAAUGCUCGGACAGCAAACGGAAACAGAAAACAAAAACUCAGAAUCUGCAGGCAUGGAACAUACUGCAAGGGAUGGUCAUUUACAACGUGCUCCAGGAUCCUAGAGCAGCCCCUGGAAGCCACCCAGAACACAGUAGGUCACACGGUUCCCACACACAGCAGAUCUCUUCUCUGGCUGGAGCCCAGGCUACUAGAAAGAGUGUCUCCUGAAACAACCAGGUGUGGGGAGAGCCCCGAAAUGACUAGACAUACAUGGCUCACCUGUUGAACUAACCCCAUUGAAAUAGAUGCUGGAUCAUUAUCAGGGAGAGGAGCUGCCUAGGAAAAUGGCACUCUCCAGGGAGGACAUAAGCUACUUUUGUAGUUUCAUGCAAAAGAAGAUGUGUGAAUAACAAGUAGUAAGAAGGACAAUUACAAUGGCUGGAGAGACGAACUAAGCUGAAUGUCACUGGAAUUUGGCAAGUCCUCCAAGCUUUAGGGCUGGUGCGAUGCUGUGUCUUAUUGCAUCACUUAAUCAUCCAAUAAAUUGUUAAAGAAAUAUUUAUCGAGGGCCAAGUAUGUCCAAGGCUGUGGGGAUAAUGGAAAGCUGCUCUCAUGGAACCUACGUUCUAGGAUAUGGGAAGAUAGACAAUAAUGAAAUAUAUAAAUACAUGAUUUGUUAAGUAGUGAUAAGUUCUAUGAAGCAAAAAGAAGCUGGUUAAGGUGAAUAAAAAAGCUGCAGGGGACACAGAUUUGUAUAAGAAGGUUAGAUAAGUCCCCUCUAAUAAAGUGACAUUUGAACAAAGGCCUAAAAGAAGUGAGCGAGCGAGCCAGACAACCAGGAGAGGUCAUUCCAGGGAGAGACAACAGCCUUUGUAAAAGCCCUGACGCUGAAAAUGCUUGGUGUGUUUAGGGAACACUAAGGAAACAGUGUGGCUACAGAGAGAGGAGGGAGGGGAGCAAUGGGUGAUAGGGACAGAGACGCUGUGGUGGCGGGCAGAUAAUAUAGGACUCAAACCCUUAGGACGCUGUAAGGACUUUUACCUUAUACUCUAGAGGAAAUGAGAAGCCACUAGAAAACUUGGCUGCUGUACAGAAAAGAAACAAGAGUGAAAACAGAAGGAGAAAAAUUCCAGUUAGGAGGCCAGUGCAAUAAUCCAAGAGAGAAAUAGACCAGGAUGGUAGCAGUGCAGGUAGUGAGGAGUGUUGGAUGUUGUGUGUGCAAGAAAGACAGUUGUGAAGGGCGAGGCCAAGAUGCUUUAGGCCCACGAGACUGGAAAAAUGGAGGUACCAUUAACUGAGAUGGGGAGGAGCAGGUUGGGCGAUGUUUUAGAUAUUAAAUAAGCAUCACAUACCAUCACCUUCCUUUGCUAAGACCCCUUAGUCUGUGCCAGAGCUCUCUUACUUAAUAGGAUGAGCCAUACACUGUCUGGCCUCGACCUCUGCUCAGAUUGUUUUCAUCUCUUGAAAUGUUGUCUCCUAUUGCAUUCCUUUAACGUCUUGGCUUAGACAUAGGGUAUCUCAUUGGCCAAGUUCCCCACAUCACGGAGAUAGUGUAAAUAUACAGGGGUAGGGAGGUUGUGUCUUUCUUAACAGGAUGUGAGAAUUUGAUUGACAUUCAUCUUCUCCACUGCUGCGCAGUCCCUUGGGAGCAGUGACUGUGUCUGUCUCCUUCUGCAGUAUUCCUAGGACCAAGCACAGUGCCUGACUUGCAGUUGGCACUCAGUAACUAGCAAAUGGGUGAAGGAAUGAAAGCGUGAAGUGAUUCCACCAACCACUCCCUGUGGUAGGAACUGGGCCAACUGAAACUCUGCUUCCACAGCCUUUUGCACCAGGUCAGAAGCCGAGGAACUGCGCCACAGGAAUGACCCGUGUAGGUGCGCUAGAGUUGGUGCCUUCUCGUUCCCUUUGGCUCAGGUCAGACCUUCACGUCAAUGCAAGGUUAUCAAAUGCUGAUGUUAAUUUUACUAUUACAAAAUUUAGGAGAAUUCAAAGAAAAUGUCUUUAUGAAAUAAAAUAUUUUAGAUUUAUUUCCUCAAUUUUAGAUGGCACUAUGGCUGCCUAAUCUCAAGUUUUCCAUACAUGUCAAUUUGAAAAUUUAUUCUAGGGUUCUUCUUUGGUCUCACCCAACCCACCAGAACAUCCUAGCUGUACAGUUUGUACCCCUGAUGUCACAUCGUGAGAUUCUCGUCCUCAUGCUGGUUUUAUCCUCAGUCAGAGCAGGUUGCAGCCUGUGCUUUACAGCAGCAAGAUCCUACAACCCACUCCACACGGCACAAGCUGAACUUCAUGCUCAAAAUCCCACCACUAAGAGGCAUUUCUCUGCAUUGACUUUCCCUUUCAGAGCCCCUUCCAUAAGAUGGCUUAGUGAAAGAAGCCAUUCUUUUCUAUUAAUAUUUUAUCAGAGUGGAAUGAUCUCUAUGCGACUCCCUACACUUGGGAGCGGAUGGGUCAUAUAAGGAAGGGCAUUUAAGAUAGAGAUUUGGAGUGGGAUCCUGAAGAGGCAGUAAGAGAGCAACAAAGAGGGACCUCACCACGUCCCAGUGGCAGCUCAGCUGCCGUAAGAUCCAGGUAUAGGAAGCAAAAAGUGUGAGUGCCGGGUUUUUUAAAAACCUCCAUCCUGCUGCACAGAGGUGAGGGCGUAGGAGGAAAGCUGUAUCUGUGGUAGACACAUCGGCCAACCAUGGCCCAAACUUUAUCCGAGAAAAAAUGGUUCUGUAGUCAAAUAAGUUGUAGAUUUUCUGCUUAUCGUAUCUCUAUCUUGGAUAUUUACAAUAAGCAUUAGCAGGUUAGAUGCUGGGAGAGUCUUAGAUUUUAGAAAUCUGUUUGACCUUGUUUAGUAUAGCAUUUUUACAAACCUAUUUUCUCUUGCUAAACAUCUUUGGGAACACGGCAUCUGUGGAACAGAACUUAUAAGAGACAGAGCUCAUUUGCUUUACCUGGAAGUUAAUGGUAUGAGAGAAGGGAGGUCGCCGGAUACACUGACAGGGUUCAGAGACCCAGGUUCAAAUCCUCCACUAACCUACUUACUGGCUUUGUGGCCUCGGUGAGUUAUUUAACCUCUCUGUGCCUCUGUAAAUUGAAGAUCUAAUUUGUUUUUUGUUCUAAUGCAUGUCAUAUCUCUAGACAUGGAAUAAAUAGUAAGCAUGCUUUUAU